rnacentral:rRNA from 1 species
CAUAGGCUUCAAGCGUUGUCCGGAUUUNUUGGGCGUAAAGAGUUCGUAGGCGGUCGAGUAAGUCGGGUGUGAAAAUUCUGGGCUAACCCAGANACGCCACCCGAUACUGCUUAACUUGAGUUCGAUAGGGGAGUGGGGAAUUCCUAGUGUAGCGGUGAAAUGCGCAGAUAUUAGGAGGAACACCGGUGGCGAAGGCGCCACUCUGGAUCGAUACUGACGCUGAGGAACGAAAGCAUGGGUAGCAAACAGGAUUAGAUACCCUGGUAGUCCAUGCCGUAAACGGUGGGCACUAGGUGUGGGAUUCUAUUAACGAAUUCCGCGCCGUCGCUAACGCAUUAAGUGCCCCGCCUGGGGAGUACGGUCGCAAGACU